UACGUAGAAGACUAGUGUUAUUCAUCUUUAAUAGGUUUAAAGGGUACCUAGACGGUAUAAUUAGUCUUAAACAGGAUACGAUUAUACUAGAGUUAUAUAUGAGGAGGUGAGUAUUUAUGCAGUAGAGUUGAAAUUCGUUGAUAGCAUAACGACUGGUAACGGCGAAAGCAACCUUUUAUCUAAUAACUGACGUUGAGGGACGAAAGGCUUGGG
rnacentral:rRNA from 1 species